rfam:Medicago truncatula strain A17 chromosome 3, whole genome shotgun sequence.
UCUGACGAACAUGUUUUUCAGAAUAUGGUGGAUUUGUUGUAAUUGGGCAGCGGCCAGACAACCGUAGAGAUGGAAUCCACAGAUGUUGAGUUUUUUCUUGUCUCACACUUCUACUAAUUCCAUCUCACAUUU